UACCAACGGAUGUAUUCCAGAUCUUACUUUUAGACCUCCUAUGUGGGGAAGCUCUUCUGUGAAAUGCUCUGAUUGCACCCCCAUGAGAUACCACAACUACUCGUUUUCCUGCAUCGGGAAUAAACAAAAUUCAUGUCAAAUUUCCAAUUUGGAGCUCACACUUGUGGAAUGCAUAUGUGACGAAGCAGAUUGAAUAUCCAAGAAGAAAUAAAAGAAGCAGAUUGAAGAAAAUUUAUAUUCAAAAUGAACUACAAGUUUAUUCAAAUGAUGCAGGAUAAUGCUGAUCAUGGCAGUAAUAUUACAUCGAGUACUCUUCUACUUUUUUCCUGGUUUUUUGGGCUUGUAUAGGAGAAAGGAGUACUCACUGGAAUUUCUUGAUCACUUCGGUCAGAGAGAAAAGUCUUAUAAGCCAUCGGUUGACUUUUGGCUGCUUCACGGAGUGAAGUACCUUGAAGAUCUCCUAGAUGUCUCUCUCGAAGUUCUGGAUCUUUAAUGACCUAUAUUAAAGCACAAACCAAAGACAUAAAAGCAAUUUAUUUAGGGGAUGUUUGGUAGAGUGCAUUAGCAAAAAUAAUACAUGAAUUAGCUUUGCGUACUCCUAGUACCCUGUUUGGUACGUUAUUUCAACCUAGCAUUGUCUAUACACUCUAUUUGGUAUUAAGAUGUGUAUAACUAUACAUGGAAAUCCAUGGUAUUAGUAAUGCAAUGGGUUAUAUGA